rnacentral:rRNA from 1 species
GACAGAGGUCCCGAGCGUUAGGCGGAAUCACUGGGCUUAAAGCGUGCGUAGGCGGAGUGCUAAGUACCUUGUGAAAUCCCACGGCUCAACCGUGGAACUGCUUGGUAUACUGGUUCUCUUGAGCCACCUAGGGGCAACCGGAACAAACGGUGGAGCGGUGAAAUGCGUAGAUAUCGUUUGGAACGCCAAUGGUGAAAACAGGUUGCUGGGGGUGUGCUGACGCUGAGACACGAAAGCCAGGGGAGCAAACGGG